CGUGUAGGCGGGCUUUUAAGUCAGGGGUGAAAUGCCGAGGCUCAACCUCGGAACUGCCUUUGAUACUGGAAGUCUUGAGUCCGGGAGAGGUGAGUGGAACUGCGAGUGUAGAGGUGAAAUUCGUAGAUAUUCGCAAGAACACCAGUGGCGAAGGCGGCUCACUGGCCCGGAACUGACGCUGAGACGCGAAAGCGUGGGGAGCAAACAGGAUUAGAUACCCUGGUAGUCCACGCUGUAAACGAUGGAUGCUAGCCGUUGGGGAGCUUGCUCUUCAGUGGCGCAGCUAACGCUUUAAGCAUCCCGCCUGGGGAGUACGGUCGCAAGAUUAAA
rnacentral:rRNA from 1 species